rnacentral:lncRNA from 1 species
CCGCGCGGCGUUCCGCAUCCGUGGCUCACGCGCGCUGCUAAACUUCCCCCUCCUCGUCAGCUCGCAGGACGCUGCAGCGAAGAGGGCGGCGACGGAGACGCCAUUGGUGGGGACUAACAAGAGAAGGAAGGGAGUGGCGGUCUCGGUUUCUUCUGCCGGUUCGGAACUAACGGUUCAGAAGAAUCGGUCCGGUUUAGAGACGAGCAGUGGGUUAUUGAUCCUCGGUUCGGAACUGGCGACCACCGUCGGUCAUAUAUGAUGAGCAUUUUAUCCUUUUUAAGCAAUAGUUUGUCACUCGUGCAGAAAGAUUUCUUUCUUCAAUCGAGAAAAAAAAUGAUUUUUUUCAUUGAAUUGACCGAAGAAUAUAAAAUUAAAAUUUUUAGUCUGAUAUUUUAAAGCCAAAAGCAUUCCCAAGUUAACUCAAUUUUGCAUUGCCAUGGAAGAACUCUGAAUCAUUCUGGCUGGAGGAGGACACAUGAAUCUGAUGAUGUGAUAUGGAAUAGAAAGUCAAGUGUAUAUCUCGAGUUCGUGGCACAAUUCAAGAUAGACAACAAUAAAGGUCACAUUGAAUACUCAUUCAUUCACGGCUCUCUAAAACGUGCGAUCACACUGAUCUGACAAUGGCUAUAAACUUUGACCUGAAGGACAGAUGUUUUACAUGAAUCUAUUGACGAGUCAAAGCUAGAUUACCAGAGAAAAUGUGGCAAGAAUAAACUAUAGUCAUUUCCGACUUCAUCAGUGGAUUCCCAUAUUCCUUGUAGAAUAACUCAAGAAAAGAAAGAUAAAUAAAUAUAAAAAGGAAAUGUAUUAGUUCAUUCAUUUGUUUUUGUCUUUAAUAGAUUAAAUAUAAUUUCUUUCUUGCUAACUGAUGAGCAAGAAAAUCUCAAAAAGGGGAAUUUUCUUUUUGAAACAUUCAAAAAAGGGAAAAUUAAAUAGGUAAACCUACAGAGGUCCUGACGGGCGAGAGAGAGAGAGAGAGAGAGAGGAGGCGCAGCCUCCGCGACCAGGAUCUGACGGGCUCCUGUCAGAUCCCCACUGAACCAGCGAUGGAGGAGCAGUCUCCGCGACCAGCGACAGAGGUUGCGGGCGAGGGCGGGCCGCCACACCUCCGUCCUCGCCAGCAGCCGUUGGCGACGGCAAGGGCACGCCCGCGACUUCGUCGCCAGCGGUCGACGGCAAGCAGGGGAUGCGAGGAGGUUGCACAGCCCCUCCGCAACCAACGACGGAGGUUGGGGGCGAGGGUGGGCCGUCCCCCCUCCUUCAUCGCCCGCAGUUGACGGCGAGGGGGGUUGCGAGCGACGGCGAUGGCCGUGGAGGCUAUGCCUCCGAUGGGUCCAGU